CAUUUAUUGCUACCCCGUAAGUGUUUUAUUUGAUGCGCCUAUGUAUCUUUAUAACUCCCUAACGCUUCGACGUGUCGGCGCAGGCCGAACGACCAACGGGGCGGAGAGAUAAGCGAAACUCGUAAUAGUAAAAUCAGUUGGUUAAAGAACAUCCGCUCUGAUACGUGAGCUGCUGCUAUUUGUAGACGAACUCUGGGAAAAUAAUGGACUGAAAUUAAAUAUAUUACAUACCACCAGUAAACUAAACAUCAGGAAACUCAACAGACAAUCUCCAAAGUAACAAAAAAACAAGAAUUCAAGAAAUUAUAACAAAUUAUACCACGUGGUCACGUAUCAGAGAUCCCAGGGUUCGUUUUACAUUCUACAUCAUAUUUCCAUUCCACCCACAAUAUGGAUACUUAGCUGGAUUUUUUUAUGGUUAAAUAUACCUUAUAUAACUAAUUUGGAUACUUAAUUGGAUUUUUUUUUAUGGAUAAAUAAAUGGAUAAACAUACUUUAUAUAACUAAUAGUAGGACAUCAUAAACCAUUACCGACCCGUUUCACCAAAUACAUCCACAGAACCUCUCAACUUCAGACCGCUCCACACAGAUGUUAUAGUGCCCAGAGAUUUCCCAAAUCUAGUGGACCUUCCUAUGAAUAUACCCAGGAGUUGCAAAAGAUAAGAGUUUUUUUUUCUUUAUUUCAAUUCAUACCUAUAAAUAUUUUGGUUUUUACUCUACAGUAAUAAAUUUGUGUAAACUGUUUAUAUGCAUAUAACAGGUACCUAUACUACACUAUAUACAUAGGUUUUUGAAGUAGGAUUUUAAAUAAAGCUAGGUAAUGGUAAAUAAUAAAUAAAUAUUCAAAUAAAAUAAAUUAAUUGAUAAGGGAAAGGGGAAUUAAGACAUAUAUAAAGAUUGUCGAUAGGUUUUAAAUAAUAUUUCUGGAUAAGUCUUUAACCAAACUCAUUUUGUUAGUUUUAUAUAGCUUCCAGCAUCUAUGUUUACUUAGGUAUAGUACUUAGACAUAGAUCUGGUAUUUCGAUUGUUUCGGACACUUAAUAGUUCGAUUGGUGAGUACGUCACCCUUUAAGUCUCUGCUAGAUAAGGUAUUAAACUUUUUUUGUGUAACCAUUAGUUGUUCUAGUAUUAACUAUACCUUAUCUAGUCUAGGAUCAAUUAAUAUUAGUAUACUAACCAUAGUAUAGGAUUUUGCUACGCUUACGGACACUGACCUGGUUUUCGUUAUUGAUAUUUUUUAUAUUGCGCAAUAGCGGUGGUAAUUUACUUGGCGUAACCCUUUGGGUUCUAGAUUGUUAUUUUUCUCAACUCCACCACUAUUGUUUAUCUCACAUGUUUUAUAAGUAUCAUGGAUACAUUGUAAGUUGUGAAAUAGUAUAAAUAUAUUUGUUCUUAGUAA
rnacentral:lncRNA from 1 species